rnacentral:siRNA from 1 species
ACAUUCAGAAGUUGGCCCAAUGGA